rnacentral:tRNA from 1 species
UAUUUAUUAGUUUAAUAAAACAUUAUAUUUUCAUUAUAAAAAUAAUUAAUUUUAAUUAUAAAUA